rnacentral:tRNA from 1 species
UCCCUGGUGGCUCAGCAGUAAAGAAUCUGCCUGUAAUGCAGAAGGCACAGGAGCUGUGGGUUCAAUCCCUGGCUAGGGAA